GUUUCUGCAUAUUCUAUUCUCUUUUUCCUUGCUCAGAAUAAUAAUCACUCCGAAAUAUUCAAUGGAGAAACAUCUCUUAUUAACAAUAAAAACACCUGUAAGUUCAGGCUUUAAAAUACUACCAGAAAAAAGAGAGAAUAGAAUAUGCAGGAACCAGCUGAGCGAGGAAAAAGAGAAUAGAAUAUGCAGAAACUAGCUGAGCGAGGAAACAAAAAAUUAUUAUGGAUAUGAGAUCGAAAGGGAAAAAAAAAGUUCUCAACCAAUAGUUCCGACAAAAUGAAUGAACAGACUCCAAGUAAUUACUUCCAAGGUUUGAUCUCAAAGUCCAACAUCCACUGAAAAAGAUUACCUGCCACGGCCAGUUGUCAGUUUUGCAGCAAGUACUGCAUUAUAUCCUUCCUAAUAACUCCUUCAAAACUACUUGCUCCACCAAUGUAGUUUGGCCGACCACUGAUACACAAGUGUCUGUACUGGGUAAUAGUUCCAGCAGGUCUUGGUGGCCGCAUCAUCAUUGCAAUUGCAGGAAAAGGUUGAGACCACAUAUUUCUUGAUGCAGUGAACAGAUGCCUACUAGAAUCCUGGCUUCUGGGUGACUGAAUGCUCCCAGAAGUUUUCAGGUGGGAGGAGCUGGUUACCUGCUUUUUCAUGUUCAUAUUUGUGUUAGCACCAUUUGGGGGUUUCAUUGGCGAGGGACCACGUAUCUGAGCAGAAGGUUUCAUUCGGUCCAGCCAUCGCAGAAUCCAGUUACCAAGAUUCCGACCUACUUCUAUGUCUCUCUGUUGUAUAUUCUGGUGAACCUUGAGUGCAACAUCAAAAACGGCACGUGUUCGUCUAUGAAGAAACUGGCGUAUCUUAGGACGCUUAGGAGAUACAAGCCUACGUUGAAUCCUCAAAGCGAGUCUGUAAGCCCGUUUGAGACCCAAGAAAUACGCAGUUCCCAAUGUGAUCUCCCAAAGCACCAUUUUGUACUUCUUCUAUGGCUAUGGAUAUGGGCAGUUAUAGAUUUAUACUUUCCUUUUCUUUAGAAUUCAAAAACAAAGGGACUGACUUGUGUUUCGUCGGAGGCAAGUUAAAGAAAUUGAUUCUUGGUGUAUAGCCGCCAGAACUUCUUGCAAU
rnacentral:misc_RNA from 1 species